rnacentral:rRNA from 1 species
CUACGGGGUGCACCAGUAGGGAAUCUUGCGCAAUGGGCGAAAGCCUGACGCAGCAACGCCGCGUGAGCGAAGACGGCCUUCGGGUUGUAAAGCUCUGUCAGGAGGGACGAAGCCACUCGAGUGAACAGCCCAGAGGGUGACGGUACCUCCAGAGGAAGCCCCGGCUAACUACGUGCCAGCAGCCGCGGUAAUACGUAGGGGGCAAGCGUUGUCCGGAAUUAUUGGGCGUAAAGAGCGUGUAGGCGGCUCGUCAAGUCCGAUGUGAAAUCUCGUGGCUCAACCACGAAACUGCAUUGGAAACUGGCUUGCUAGAGUCCGGAAGAGGAGAAUGGAAUUCCUGGUGUAGCGGUGAAAUGCGCAGAUAUCAGGAAGAACACCGGUGGCGAAGGCGGUUCUCUGGGACGGUACUGACGCUGAGACGCGAAAGCGUGGGGAGCGAACAGGAUUAGAUACCCUGGUAGUC